rnacentral:rRNA from 1 species
GAUAAACGCUGGCGGCGCACAUAAGACAUGCAAGUCGAACGAACUUAACCAUUAGUUUACUAUUGAAGCGGUUAGUGGCGGACUGGUGAGUAACACGUAAGCAACCUGCCUAUCAGAGGGGAACAACAGUUAGAAAUGACUGCUAAUACCGCAUAUGCCUUGAGUAUCACAUGGUACAAAAGGGAAAGGAGCAAUCCGCUGAUAGAUGGGCUUGCGUCUGAUUAGAUAGUUGGUGAGGUAACGGCCCACCAAGUCGACGAUCAGUAGCCGGACUGAGAGGUUGAACGGCCACAUUGGGACUGAGAUACGGCCCAGACUCCUACGGGAGGCAGCAGUCGGGAAUAUUGCGCAAUGGAGGAAACUCUGACGCAGUGACGCCGCGUGCAGGAAGAAGGUUUUCGGAUUGUAAACUGCUUUAGACAGGGAAGAAACAAGACAGUAC